AUAAGAUAUUAGUUUAUGCAUUAUUUAGCACUUAUCACACCCCCAAACCUACAUUUUGCUAGUCCUCGAGCAAAAUAAAAUAAAAAAAACUAACUCACUUUCGCAGGAAUCGCGAUUGCAUUUACCGUAUGCAAUGAGGCUUUAAACCCCUAGGUGGCCCUAGUGGACGAGUUUUGUCUCGUGAGGGUUUUCGGCUCAGAUACCCACAAACUGUU
rnacentral:lncRNA from 1 species